UUCCGGCCGUUUGGCCGGGAUUUUGGCUCCGAUUUGGCCACAGGAGGAAUCAGCGUGGAAAAACGAGUCGGGGGUACGAAAUUUACCUCGAUCGGCGGUCGGAAAUUCCUCCGGUGCGGCGGCGGGUGGCGGCGGCCGGCUUCUGGUUCGUCUUCUCCGGCGAGCGGCAGGCGGCUAGGGUUUGUGGUCUGGUGUGGGGGUUCUAUUUAUAACCCUUUGCCUUUUGAUCUCAGCCGUCCAUUUUGUUUUAAUCUGGGCCGUCCG
rnacentral:lncRNA from 1 species